rnacentral:rRNA from 1 species
UACGGAGGGUGCAAGCGUUAUCCGGAUUCACUGGGUUUAAAGGGCGCGUAGGCGGCCAACUAAGUCACACGUGAAAUCCCCAGGCUUAACCUGGGAACUGCGUGUGAUACUGGAUGGCUUGAAUUCGGGAGAGGGAUGCAGAAUUCCAGGUGUAGCGGUGAAAUGCGUAGAUAUCUGGAGGAAUACCGGUGGCGAAGGCGGCAUCCUGGACCGACAUUGACGCUGAGGCGCGAAAGCUAGGGGAGCAAACGGG